GCUUCACUAGCUCAGUUGGCAGAGCGUCAGUCUCAUAGUUUGUAUUAAUUGUGUCAUCUGAAGGUCGACAGUUCGAACCUGCCGUGGAGCA
rfam:Scheffersomyces stipitis CBS 6054 chromosome 6, complete sequence.